rnacentral:rRNA from 1 species
UGGACAUGGAGGCAACUCUGAUCCAGCGAUGCCGCGUGAAGGAAGACGGCCCUAUGGGUUGUAAACUUCUUUUAUACAGGAAGAAACCUUUCCACGUGUGGAAAGCUGACGGUACUGUAAGAAUAAGGAUCGGCUAACUCCGUGCCAGCAGCCGCGGUAAUACGGAGGAUCCAAGCGUUAUCCGGAAUUAUUGGGUUUAAAGGGUCCGCAGGCUGUUUGUUAAGUCAGGGGUGAAAUCCUACCGCUCAACGGUAGAACUGCCUUUGAUACUGGCAAACUUGAGUUAUUGUGAAGUAGUUAGAAUGUGUAGUGUAGCGGUGAAAUGCAUAGAUAUUACACAGAAUACCGAUUGCGAAAGCAGAUUACUAACAAUAUACUGACGCUGAGGGACGAAAGCGUGGGUAGCGAACAGGAUUAGAUACCCUGGUAGUCCACGCCGUAAACGAUGGUCACUAGCUGUUUGAUGUACAUUGGUACAUUGAGUGGCUAAGCGAAAGUGAUAAGUGACCCACCUGGGGAGUACGCUCGCAAGAGUGAAACUCAAAGGAAUUGACGGGGGCCCGCACAAGCGGUGGAGCAUGUGGUUUAAUCCGAUGAUACGCGAGGAACCUUACCAGGACUUAAAUGUAAGUUGCAUGAUUCAGAAAUGGAUCUUUCUUCGGACUACUUACAAGGUGCUGCAUGGUUGUCGUCAGCUCGUGCCGUGAGGUGUCAGGUUAAGUCCUAUAACGAGCGCAACCCCUAUCGUUAGUUGCCAUCAAGUAAAGUUGGGAACUCUAGCGAAACUGCCGGUGCAAACCGUGAGGAAGGUGGGGAUGACGUCAAAUCAUCACGGCCCUUACGUUCUGGGCUACACACGUGCUACAAUGGCCGGUACAGAAAGCAGCCACUAUGCGAAUAGGAGCUAAUCUUCAAAGCCGGUCUCAGUUCGGAUCGCAGUCUGCAACUCGACUGCGUGAAGCUGGAAUCGCUAGUAAUCGGAUAUCAGCCAUGAUCCGGUGAAUACGUUCCCGGGCCUUGUACACACCGCCCGUCAAGCCAUGGAAGCUUGGGGUACCUAAAGUCGGUGACCGAAAGGAGCCGCCUAGGGUAAAACUAGUAACUGGGGCUAAGUCGUAACAAGGUAGCCGUACCGGAAGGUGCGGCUGGAAUACCUCCUUUCU